GGACGGACUGCAAACAAAAAAGCUGUCACCUGGACUUUUCUCGUCUGGGGAGAUGCGUCUUUAUACAUUACAUUAAAGUUUCCUCGUGUCUCUCAGGGUGGAUUUUCCUUUUGGGUCCAGUUUGAACCCCAAACAUUUUCCUUCCACAACACCAGGACACCGCCCCCCCCUCCCUCCCUCCCAAAGUUGUCGAACAAGGUUGAGCCACCCAACAGCAGAAAGUAAUUUGCAAGGCAUAUGAUAUGGAAACGAACAGGCGAUGAAUGGGACAAACUGAACAGUGAUGUUACAGGUAGUGAUGUUACAAUGCGCCUUUUUCUUUUACAAAUCAACUCAGGCACAAAGGUCAGACACGUUGCCUGGCACACAGGACGAUGAGGGAGGCAGGGAGGGAGGGUGCUUUAGAUGGAGUGAAAGGGUUGGUAAGAAACAUUCAGUUUGUGUGUGUGUGUGUGUGUGUGUGUGUUGGGUGUGUGCCCCCCGACAUUCACGCUCGCACCCUUCCCCCUUUAUGUCAAUAUUGGAUCAGACCAACGCACCGUGUGACAGGUGUCUGUGCUUGCCCUGAGGAUCCUCUCAGCAGUUCUCAUCCAUGAGGGGUGGAGAGACCCGUGAAGGGUGGAGAGAGAAAGGGCGGGGGGUGAUAGGAAGAAGCAGUGGAGGUAUAAAAGGUGUAUACCUGUCACAAAGAGCAUACAUUCAGUACGCGUAAAAGCUGAGCCAAACCUGACCGAGUUUGCGCAUUUUGACCUUUUCUGUCUCGUUUCUUCCAAAGGUUACCGGACAACACAGGAAGCCAGCUGUUACGUGCUCACCAACUCUCUCUCUCUCUCUCUGUCUUUGGAUCAUCGCCACACUGUGAAAGGUUCUUGUGACUUUUUCAUAUCCGUAUUUGCUUCACGUUGAGCCUCACGUACAAUACCUGAAGAUGAAGUUUUGUUCGUUCGGCUCGCGUUACGCAGGUACGGGUUGGCAACUGGAAAAGACACAAAGUUUAUUUUGACGGGAGCAUCACUGUUGUUAAUACUGUAGAGCCUCAUUUCAGACAAAUGAUGGGACGUUGCUUUUGGUUGAGCUGUUUCAAAAGAUUCCACCGGUGAAAUUUGUUUUAAUGGGUUUCAAAGGCGCUCAGUGGGAAAGGCCAGACUGCACCACAAGUGAGCCAAAUCAGUGUUAAAACCCUCAAAAAUGUAGAAUACUUUUCUAAGAAAAUACCUCAGCCAUGAAGUCAGGACCAUCUUUCUAGGACGACUUCAUCUCUAAAUAGUUUCAGUAACUGAAGCACCAGGCAUAAAGACUUUUUAACUGAAUAGAUUGUCUUAUUUGCAUACAGCUGGCAGCUGGCUCCAAGCCCUGUCAGCCAACUGACUACUGGAGUCACACUUAGUUGUUCAACGGGGAGGAAAUGAAGAAAAACUAAUGGAAAAGUAUACUCAUUUGACUCAAUUAAAAAGACUCUUUGUUAAA